AACUCAGCAAGUAAACUCACCGUGCCCAACGUAAAGCCAGACAGAGAGCAGGAGGACGAAAUAAAGCCAUCUCCUUCAAACUCGGAUUUAAGCUAAAAAUUCUAGUCAGCCACCAGAGGGUGCCCACAGAAUUCUCUGAGAAUGGCCGAAAACAUGAAGAAUUACAGGAGAAAAAAAUUUCCAUUGUGUAUAAAACCAAGACAGAGUGUGCCCACCCCUGACUUAGGUGGGGAGUGGGAUAGAAGCCGUGAAGAAGGCAGGAGUGGGGACCUUAGGAUGGGAAGGGGCGCGUGAUAGAAAUUACCAGAAUUUGAGCUGAACAAGUUGCUUCUGGAUUUUAAAUUGGCAAUUGAAAUAGCACUUUGUGUACUGGCCCAGGAAGCGUUUCUAAGCAAAACUCUCUACCCUACCCAUCCCCCAUCUCUGUGUACAAAGGAAAUGCAAAUACAUGUAAAUAUUAGUCUAAACCGAAGGCUUCCUGGAAGGUAAGGCAGCUGGUACUGCUGCUGCGCAGAGAAAGAAAAGAAAGAAGUGAACUGUGAUGGAAAUGAAAGAGACGGGAGCAGAAACUCAUUACACAACAUGCCCUGCCUCUUGGUCAUCGGCACCCUGAGUCUAGCCGUGAGUGACUUCGGAGCUGGGAUUUUGUUCCGUCGACUGACUCUCAGAGGAGACAACACCCAGAGAAGUGUUUUCAGCCUCUGCUGGGAAUCACGGGCAUACUGGCUUUUCAUCUCCCUCAUCACCGCGUUAUCAGCGAGACGAUUCAGUGCUGUGUGUGCCUGCAGAGCAAGUGCUGUCUCCUAGCUCAGUGGCUCUAUGGCCACAUGGUAUUUUCCCAGCAGGUACCAAGAAGAAUGCUGUAUUCUAGAGAUACCAAGGACUGAAAUGUGCUGCAAAGCAUAGCAGUCAAUCAGCAGCGCCCCAAUCAGCAGACGCUGUGGCCAGUCUCCACCCCAGGGUGGAGUGAGACGGGAUGGGGCACCAUUCUCUGUCUUCUGCUGCGACUAAAGGCCAUGGGUGUGAAAGUCUGGUUUUGCCCAAGAUGUGUGCAUUUAUUUGUCAAAGCACUGACCCUUGCAAGCAUAAUUGUUUUUAACUUGAAUACACUGAAAAGUCCAAAUGAAAAAAAACAAAAAAACAAUGACCACCCAUAGUCCUGCAACCCACAGUUAGCCAAUGUUGACAUACUUGCUUCUAGGAUUGGCUUGUGCCUUAAAACAAAAUAAGCUUCCUCAUAUUCAAGUAUAUCCUUUGAAGUAAUCAUUGCAGCAAGGAAAAAGCCGAAUUGCUAUGAUAUCAUGACAAAUGCAAUCUUUCUUUCUCUAUUCAGAAAUGGCUAUAAAUUAAAUGUGCAGUUCUUUCAGUAUUAAAAAUAUUUGCAUACCCAAA